rnacentral:ncRNA from 2 species
UAAAAGUAUGGUGAUGGAGCUCACCAUAAAAGCAGUAUGCUGAUGGCUCCUGCUAUAUC